rnacentral:lncRNA from 1 species
UUUUUUUUUUUUUUUUAAGGGAGAAAAGAAAGAAAGAGGGAAAGAAAGGAAGGCAACCUAUAGAAUGAGAAUACAUACACAAAUCAUGUAUCUGAUACGGACCUAGUGUCCAGAAUAUAUAAAGAAUAGUUACAACUAAAAACAGAAAGACGAGCAGCCCAAUUAAAAAAUGGGCAAUGGAUUUGAAUAGAUACCACUCCAAAUAUAUAAAAAUGGCUAAGAAGCCCAUGAAAAGAUGCUCAACGUCACUCGUUAUUAAGGAAAUGCCAAGCCAACCAAGAUGAGACAGCACCUUACACUCACUAGGUUGGCUGUAGUACACAAAUGGAAAAUAACACAUGCUGGUGAGGAUGUGGAGACACUGGGGUCCUCAUAUCCUGCUGAUGGAAAUGUAAAAACGGUGCAACUGCUACGGAAAACAGUCCUUCCUCAAAAUGUUAAAAACAGAAUUACUGUAUGACCCAGCAAUUCAACCCCUAGGUAUAUACCUCAAAGAAUUAAAAACAGCAACACAAACAAAUACUUGUACAUGCAUGAUCAUGGCAGCGCUAAUCACAACAGUCAAAAGGUGGAAAGAGCUCAAAUGUCCAUCAAAUGGAUGAAUGGACAAACUGUGGUAUACAGAUACCAUGUAAUAUUAUCCAGUCAGAAAAAGGAAUGAAAUAUUUAUAUCGGCAACACACGGACAAACCUCAAAAACAUUACACUAAGUGGGAGAAGCUAUAUGAAAAAGGUUACACAUGCUAUGAUUCCAUUCAUAUGAAACAUCCAGAAUAGGUUAAGUCCAGGGGGACAGAAAACAGGUCAGUGGUUGCCAGGGACUUAGGGGAGAAGAGAACAGCGAAUGACUGCUCACUGGACAUGGGUUUCCUUCUGGGGUGAAGGGAUGUUUGGGAACUAGAUAGAGGGAGCACACUGCAUACACGUACUUUCAUUCUGUACUAGAUGUCACUGAAUUGUCCACUUUAAAAUGGUGAAUUUUGUAGUUCCCAUUGUGGAGCAGUGGUUAACGAAUUCAACUAGGAACCACGAGGUUGCAGGUUCGCUCUCUGGCCUUGCUCAGUGGGUUAAGGAUCUGGCGUUGUUGCCGUGAGCUGUGGUAUGGGUCGCAGACGCUGCUCGGAUCCCGAAUUGCUGUGGCUCUGGCGUAGGCCGGUGGCUACAGCUCUGAUUAGACCCCUAGCCUGGGAACCACCAUAUGCCUCGGGAGCAGCCCUAGAAAAGGCAAAAAAAAAUAAAUAAAUUUAAAAAAUAAAAUAAAAUGGUGAAUUUUAUAUUAAGUGAAUUCCAACUCAAUAAAAGAAAUGUUUCUGAGACUGAUCCAUGAUGCCGUGUAUAGUCCAUUAUAAGAAUAUACCACAAUUUGGUCAUCAAUUCAUGGGCUGAUUAAUAUUUAGGUCUAAUCAAUCCAGUUUAUUUAAUAUAAGUAACCAACUAUGAAUAUUUUUCUAUAAAUAUUUUUAAAGGCAUGUUUCACUGAUUUGGGGUAAAUACCUAAAGGUGCCUCAUUUCACAAAAAUAAGUCUAAAAAAAGUGUUAUCAGUCAUAAUAUAACUGAAAUCAAAGCUGAAAACCAGGUGCAGGCAUUAAAGCAAUGAUGCUUUAAUCCUUAAGCUCAGCAGAUUCAAGACAAUAGUACAUGUUCAAUUACAAAGAUAAAGAAGAAAACUAAACAACAAGGAUGAUAUGUUAAUACUAUGUUAGCAAAACUAUUAUCUGAAAAUUGAAUCAGUCAUCUUUUAACUGCCUUGAUUUUCAAGGGAACCGAACUCUCUUUCUCAGGCAUUUUCAGGAAUGAAUUACCUGAGAGUGAAAGGGCUAUCUGAGAAGCCGGGGCAAAAAUUGAGAGGAAACCCUAGAAUGAGAUUGCCUGAGUUUGUAGUCCAACUAUGCCACUUGAUAGUUACUUAAACAUGUUGGCCCUCCGUUUCCUCAUCUUAAAAAUAGGUGAUAAUAUCUACCCCAGAAAGUUGUUCUGAUGAUCAAAUGAGUUAAUCUACAGAGUAUGCUGGAACAGCGUCUGGUGCCUUAUGAGCUGGCUGCUGCCAGCAUCACCUGCCACCGCCGCCACCACCAUCAUCGUCAUUAUCACGGAUCGUCAGUCAUGACGUCCACGUUCUAAAAUAUCUUUAAGGAGUUCCCUGGUGGCCUAGCCAUUACGGAUCUGGCAUUGUCAUUGUUGUGGCUCAGGUCACACUGCCCUGGCACAGAUUUUAUCCCUAGCCCGGGAACCUCCGUCUGCCACGGGAGCAGCCAAAUAAAAUAAAAUAUCCUUAAGACAGUUUAAGAUAUCUGUGGUUGUUCAACUGAACAGCACUGAAAGUUAACAAAAACAUGCAACUAUUAACAAGAACGUACUAUAUAGCACAGGAAAAUCUACACAAUAGUUUUUAAUAACCUAUAUGGGAAAAAAGAAUAGACAUUUAUAUGUAUGACUGAUUUACUUUACUGUCCCCCCAAACUAACACAACAUUGUAAAUCAAUUAUACUCCAAUAAAAUUGUUUCAAACAUGCAAGUAAUUCGGGUAUUUACCUAGCUACCAGAGAAACUCAAAACUCAAAUAAUUUACUGUCAAUACAGUUAAAAAUGGAUCCUUAGGAGUUCCCGUUGUGGCUCAGUGGUUAACGAAUUCAACUAGGAACCAUGAAGUUUCAGGUUUGAUCCCUGGCCUUGCUCAGUGGGUUAAGGAUCCGGCGUUGCUGUGAGCUGUGGUAUAGGUCGCAGACUCGGCUUGGAUCCCAAGUUGCUGCCGAUGGCCAUGGCUCCAAUUCGACCCCUACCUGGGAACUUCCAUAAACCACAGGUGUGUGUGUGGGGGGGAAGUUUACUAAGAAAGUUUACAGAAUUCUCAGAGUUUUCUUUUCCUAUUAACAUGCUUGAAUAUAAACUUUUUUUUUUUUUUAAAGAACCACAUCUGUGGCAUGUGAAAGUUCCCUGGCUAGGGGUCAAAUCAGAACUACAGCUGCCAGCCUACACCACAGCCACAGAGACUCGGGAUCUUUAACCCACUGAGCGAGGCCAGGGAUGGAACCCGCAUCAUCAUGGAUCUCAGUUGGGUUCGUUAACCGCUGAGCCACGGAGGGAACUCCCGCUUGAAUAUAAACUUUAACGCAAAUGUGGAAAUCCAACAGUUAUUAAAGCACCUAACAAAAUAACAUACACAUUUUAGAAAUAAUGGUAGUUACAAACCUUCAAUUUUUCUUUUUUUUUCCUUUUUAAUGGCCACAUCCUUAGCAUAUAGAAAU